AAUAACCUAGUCCGUUGUUUUCUGUUGUUUUAUCAUAUUUAAGUAUAAAAAAAUUAAAAAUGUCUUUAGUACGUGAUAUUUUAUGGGAAUCUAGUUCUUCUGACGACGAAAAUUAUAAUGAUUUACCUAAUUCUCGAAAGAAAAAAGUGUAUCAACCACGUGUUAAUCGAUUCCUAAAAUGGAAUGAGCAGGAGUUCUUGGAUAGAUUUCGGAUUUCCAAAGGUUUAGCACGAGCCCUGGCUUCUCAUUUAGCACCAUUGCUCCAAACCAGAACCAUGAAAAACUUUGCAGUUACUCCAGAGCAGCAAAUAAUAAUGGCAUUGGAAUUUUACGCAUGUGGUUCUUUUCAACGCUGCAUUGGGGAUGCUGCAGGUGUUCACAAAUCUACUGUUUGUCGAAUAAUUCAUCGAGUGAGCAGAGCUAUAGCCGGACUAAGAACAGACUGGAUUGCAAUGCCUAAAAAUAUUGAGGAAAUGGAAACUGAGGCCAAAAAAUUUUAUGAAAUAUGUGCAUUUCCUAAAGUAAUAGGAACUAUAGACUGCACACAUAUACCAAUCAAAUCGCCAGGUGGUGCAGAUGCAGAAACAUAUAGAAAUAGAAAACAGGUAUUUUCUCUUAAUGUGCAAGUAAUCACAAAUGCUGAGAUGUACAUUACAAAUAUAGUUGCUAGAUGGCCUGGAAGCUGUCACGACAGCCAUAUUUUCAACAGCAGUGUCAUUAAGGGACGCCUAGAAGAUGGAGAAUUUGAUGGUUUUUGGUUACUAGGAGACAAAGGUUAUGCCAAUAAACCAUAUUUGCUAACACCUCUACGUAAUCCUGUUACAGAAGCUGAAAAACUGUACAAUGAAAGUCAUAUUCGUACUAGAAAUAUUGUAGAACGCAGUUUUGGUUGUUGGAAAAAAAGGUUUCCUGCAGUGUCAUGGAAACUCAGAACAAAUACAGCAAGAGCCCAAUGUGCUAUAGUGGCAAUGGCUGUCCUAUAUAAUAUUUGCAAGAAAUUGAGAGACCCGAUGCCAACAUGUUACGACUCUGAUAAUGAAUCAUCAGAUUCUGAUGACAAUGACCUGACCUCUGCAUAUGUUAGCCAGCAUGACGAGCAUAAUAGGAAUAUGCUAAUAAAUACUUAUUUUGAUAGAUUACAUUAAGAUAGACUAUGUUUUAAAUGAAUAAAUAAAAAAACUUCAAAAAUAAAAA